rnacentral:sRNA from 1 species
CCCAUAAGUACUUUUCGAAAUUGUAGCGACCAUUUUGGAUUGAACUCACGGCAUCGUCCUGACAUAUGAGGGAUUUCGAUCAUUUGUUUUUGAAGAACGAGCACUUGCAUAUUUGGAUUGUCGGCGUUCGAAGAAUUGAGCGUAACUUUUACACACGGUGUCCGUUUUGGGCCCAUAAGUAGUUUUCGGAAAUGUAGCGACCGUUUUGGAUUGAACUCAUGGCAUCGUCGUGACGUAAGAGGGAUUUCAGCCUUUUUUUUGAAGAACGAGCACUUGCAUACUUGGAUUGUCGGCGUUCGAAGAAUUGUGCGUAACUUUUGUACACGGUUUCCAUUUUAGGCCCAUAAGUACUUUUCGAAAACGUAGCGAUCGUUUUGGAUUGAACUCACAGCAUCGUCGUGACGUAAGAGGGAUUUCGACCGUUUGUUUUUCGAAGAAUGAGCACUUGCAUAUUUGGAUUAUCAGCGUUCGAAGAAUUGAAUGCAACUUUUGCCCACGGUAUCAGUUUUGGGUCCAUAAGUACUUUUCGAAAAUGUAGCGACCGUUUUGGAUUGAACUCACAGGUUUUCCAUGACGUAUGAGGGAUUUUGGGCGUUUAUUUUUCGAAGAACAAGCACUUGCAUAUUUGGAUUGUCGGCAUUCAAAGAAUUGAGCGUAACUUUUGCACACGAUUUCCGUUUUGGGCCCAUGAGUACUUUUCGUAAAUGUAGCGACCGUUUUGGAUUAAACUCACGGCAUCAUCAUGAUGUAAGAGGGACUUCAUCCGUUUGCUUUUUGAAGAACGAGCACUUGCAUAUUUGGAUUGCCGGCGUUCGAAGAAUUGAGCGUAACUUUUGCACACGUUAUCCAUUUUGGGCCCAUAAAUACUUUUGGAAAAUGUAGCGAUCAUUUUGGAUUGAAUUCAUGGCAUCAUCGUGACGUAAGAGGGAUUUCGGCCAUUUAUUUUUUGAACAACGAGCA